GACGAACGCUGGCGGCGUGCUUAACACAUGCAAGUCGAACGGAAAGGCCCUGCUUUUGUGGGGUGCUCGAGUGGCGAACGGGUGAGUAACACGUGAGUAACCUGCCCUUGACUUUGGGAUAACUUCAGGAAACUGGGGCUAAUACCGGAUAGGAGCUCCUGCUGCAUGGUGGGGGUUGGAAAGUUUCGGCGGUUGGGGAUGGACUCGCGGCUUAUCAGCUUGUUGGUGGGGUAGUGGCUUACCAAGGCUUUGACGGGUAGCCGGCCUGAGAGGGUGACCGGCCACAAUGGGACUGAGAGACGGCCCAGACUGCUACGGGAGGCAGCAGUGGGGAAUAUGGCACAAUGGGCGGAAGCCUGAUGCAGCAACGCCGCGUGCGGGAUGACGGCCUUCGGGUUGUAAACCGCUUUCGCCUGUGACGAAGCGUGAGUGACGGUAAUGGGUAAAGAAGCACCGGCUAACUACGUG
rnacentral:rRNA from 1 species